UAGCUGUAAUGGCAUUUUGUCGGAGUGGUAAAUCGCCUUCUUGUUGUGCGUUCGAGUUCUGGACUCUGCACUGGGCUACUUUGUUGUCCUUUCCGAAUUCUGCGGUUGAUGGGCGUCUCGGUCUGAGUAAUCGGCUUUGAGAUUUCCGUUCUAAGAUUAACUGGGAUACUUCAGUGGAGCAAUCCAGCAGAGAUCCAGUUGCCGUGGGUAUGGCGGUGGGAUAGCAACAAAGUGGUAUAUGUUAUGGAAGGUAUUUGCAAUCACGACUCUCUUUUUG
rnacentral:SRP_RNA from 1 species